UUGCCUUUAGUUGCCAGCACUUCGGGUGGGCACUCUAAAGGGACUGCCUGGGUUAACCAGGAGGAAGGUGGGGAUGACGUCAAAUCAUCAUGCCCCUUAUGCUCUGGGCUACACACGUGCUACAAUGGCCGGUACAAUGAGUUGCAAACCCGUGAGGGGGAGCUAAUCUCAAAAACCGGUCCCAGUUCGGAUUGUAGGCUGCAACUCGCCUACAUGAAGCCGGAGUUGCUAGUAAUCGCGGAUCAGCAUGCCGCGGUGAAUACGUUCCCGGGCCUUGUACACACCGCCCGUCACACCAUGAGAGCCGGCAACACCCGAAGCCAGUGGGCUAACCCGCAAGGGAGGCAGCUGUCGAAGGUGGGGCUGGUGAUUGGGGUGAAGUCGUAACAAGGUAGCCGUAGGAGAACCUGCGGCUGGAUCACCUCCUUU
rnacentral:ncRNA from 1 species